AUAUAAUACCAUACUGCACCCCCACUAUACUAUAAUAACACACUGCACCCCACUAUACUAUAAUACCAUACUGCACCCCCACUAUACUAUAAUAACAAACUGCACCCCCACUAUACUAUAAUAACAAACUGCACCCCACUAUACUAUAAUACCAUUCUGCACCCCACUAUACUAUAAUACCAUACUGCACCCCCACUAUACUAUAAUAACAAACUGCACCCCACUAUACUAUAAUAACAAACUGCACCCCACUAUACUAUAAUACCAUACUGCACCCCACUAUACUAUAAAACAAACUGCACCCCACUUCACUAUACCAACAUACUGCACCCCACUAUACUAUAAUACCAUACUGCACCCCACUAUACUAUAAUACCAUACUGCACCCCACUACACUAUACCAACAUACUGCACCCCACUAUACUAUAAUAACAAACUGCACCCCACUAUACUAUAAAACAAACUGCACCCCACUAUUCUAUACCAACAUACUGCACCCCCUCUAUAAUAUAAUAACAUACUGCACCCCGCUUUAAUAUAAUAACAUACUGCACCCCACUAUACUAUAAUACCAUACUGCACCCCCACUAUACUAUAAUAACACACUGCACCCCACUAUACUAUAAUACCAUACUGCACCCCCACUAUACUAUAAUAACAUACUGCACCCCACUAUACUAUAAUACCAUAAUGCACCCCCACUAUACUAUAAUAACAUACUGCACCCCACUAUACUAUAAAACAAACUGCACCCCACUACACUAUACCAACAUACUGCACCCCACUAUACUAUAAUACCAUACUGUACCCCACUAUACUAUAAAACAAACUGCACCCCACUACACUGUACCAACAUACUGCACCCCACUAUACUAUAAUAACAAACUGCACCCCACUAUACUAUAAUACUAUACUGCACCCCACUAUACUAUAAAACAAACUGCACCCCACUACACUAUACCAACAUACUGCACCCCACUAUACUAUAAUAACAAACUGCACCCCACUAUACUAUAAUACCAUACUGCACCCCACUAUACUAUAAAACAAACUGCACCCACUACACUAUACCAACAUACACCCCACUAUUAUACUAUAAUACCAUACUGCACCAACUAUACUAUAAUAAAUAAACUGCACCUCUACUAUACUAUAAUACCUAUACUGCACCCUCUACUAUUCUACUUAUAAUACUACUGUACCUACUAUACUAUACACAUACUGCACUCUACUAUACUAUACCAAAUAUACAAAUUCUACAGCUAUAAUACCAUACUGCACCCCAAUUAUACUAUACUACCAACAUACUGCACCCCAUUAUACUAUAAUACCAUACUGCACCCCACUAUACUAUAAUACCAUACUGCACCCCACUAUACUAUACCAACAUACUGCACCCCAUUAUACUAUAAUACUAUACUGCACCCCAUUAUACUAUAAUACCAUACUGCACCCCACUAUACUAUAAUACCAUACUGCACCCCACUAUACUAUAAUACCAUACUGCACCCCUAAUUAUACUAUAAUACCAUACUGCACCCCACUAUACUAUAAUAACAUACCACCCCCACUAUACUAUAAUAACAACUGCACCCCACUAUACUAUAAACAUACUGCACCCCACUAUACUAUAAUACAAACUGCACCCCACUAUACUAUAAUACCAUACUGCACCCCCACUAUACUAUAAUAACAUACUGCACCCCACUAUACUAUAAUACCAUUCUGCACCCCACUAUACUAUAAUACCAUUCUGCACCCCCUCUAUAAUAUAAUAACAUAAUGCACCCCGCUAUAAUAUAAUACCAUACUGCACCCCACUAUACUAUAAUACCAUUCUGCACCCCCUCUAUAAUAUAAUAACAUACUGCACCCCGCUAUAAUAUAAUAACAUACUGCACCCCACUAUACUAUAAUAACAUUCUGCACCCCACUGUUUUGUAAAAACAUACUGCACCCCACUGUUCUAUAAUAACAAACUGCACCCCACUAUACUAUAAUAACAUACUGCACCCCACUAUACCAUAAUAACAUACGGCAUCCCACUAUACUAUACCAACAUACUGCACCCCACUAUAGUAUAAUAACAUACUGCACCCCACUAUUUUAUAAUAACAUACUAAACCCCACUAUACUAUAAUAAUGUAAUGCACUCCACUAUACUAUAAUAACAAACUGCACCCCACUAUACUAUAACAACAUACUGCACCCCAUUAUACUAUAAUAACAUACUGCACCCCACUAUUUUAUAAUAACAUACUGCACCCCACUAUACUAUAAUAACACACUGCACCCCCACUAUUCUAUAAUAACCUACUGUACCCAACUAUACUAUAACAACAUACUGCACCCCACUAUACUAUAAUACCAUACUGAACCCCACUAUACUAUAAUAACACACUGCACCUCCACUAUUCUAUAAUAACAUACUGCACCCCACUAUACAAUAAUAACAUACUGCACCCCCACUAUGCUAUAAUAACAUACUGCAUCUCACUAUACUUUUCACAUAAUAACAUACUGCACCCCACUACAAUAUUCAUGUAAUAACAUGCUGCACCCCACUUUACUAUUUAUACAAUAACAUGCUGUACCCCACUACAAUAUUCAUGUAAUAACAUACGGCACCCCACUAUACUAUUCAUAUAAUUACAUACUGCACCCCACUAUACUAUUCAUAUAAUAACAUGCUGCUCCUCCUCUGUACUAUUCAUAUAAUAACAUACUGCACCCCCACUAUUCUUUUCAUAUGUGCAUGUGUGUGUAUCUGUGUGUCUGUGUAUCUGCAAGUGUGUCAUUAUGGGUGACUUCUUAUCUGCAUGUGCGGGUGCCUGUGUAUCUGUUUGUAUUUGUGUGUAUUUUAUUUCUUUUUCCUUAAAGGUAUUUUUAUAUUACGUUUUUUCAGGUUUGUCCUAUUUGAGUAAAUACGGUAAUAACAUGACCACAUCCCCAUAUACUCUUCUUUCAUAACAUUCUGCUCCCCUACUAUACUUUUCAUUUAAUAACAUGCUGCACCCCCACUAUGCUAUUUAUAUAAUAACAUAUUGCACCCCACUAUACUAUUCAUACAAUAACAUACUGCACCCCACUAUGCUAUUCAUAAAAUAAAAUACUGCACUCCCAUUAUACUAUUCAUAUCAUAACAUGUUGCACCCCAUUAUACUAUUCAUACAAUAACAUACUGCUCCCCUCUAUACUAUUCAUAAAAAACAUACAGCACCCCACUAUACUAUUCAUAAUAUAAAAUACUGCACCCCCAUUAUACUAUUCAUAUCAUUACACGUUGCACCCCACUAUACUAUUCAUAUAACAUACUGCACCCCGUAGACUAUUCAUGUAAUAACAUACUGCACCCCACUACAAUAUUCAUGUAAUAACAUAUUGCACCCCCACUAUUCUAUUCAUAUAAUAACAUGUUGAACCCACUUUACUAUUCAUAUAACAUGACUGCACCUCCACUAUACUAUUCAUAUAAUAACACGCUGCACCUCUAUACUAUUUAUACAAUAAUAUGACUGCACUCCGCUGUACUAUUCAUAUAAUAACAUAUUGCAUCCCACUAUACUAUUCAUGUAAUAACAUGCUGCUACCCACUAUACUAUACAUAUAAAAACAUGACUGCAACCCCACUAUACUAUUCAUGUACCUUUCAACCUAUCAUCCCUGCCCCUCCCCUUUCCUUUACUUCCUUUGAAGUUCACACUGUCCGCCUUUUUAAGCCCACUCGUUUAAGAAUUGCCAUCAUCUAUCACCCCCCACCCCACUUUCUCUCCUCUUGCACUCCCUCGCUCAUACAUGGGGACCUUAACAUCCCAAUCAACAACCUCAACUGCCCUGAUGCCUCCCGUCUGCUCUCUGUAACCUCUUCCUUUGGCCUCACGCAGUUGUUUACUUCAGCAACUCAUACAGCAGGAAACACUCUUGGCAUCAUCUUCACCAAUCUCUGUACCACCUCUAAUCUCUGCACUGUUCCAUUUCCUUUGUCUGACCACCAUCUGCUAACAUUUGACAUCAGCAUACCCCAUACCCUGACGAAGGUGCAUUACACAAAGCACCGAAACACGCGUCGGGUGUUUUUCCUUUUUACUUUAUUUUGAGUAUGGGCACUGGGUAUUGAUUAGUUGAUUUAAGCACUUUUUAUUUCCAAUAUGAUUUGCUUAUGUAGCACUUUCUAACUUCUUUUCCACUAUGCCUGUCUAGCUAGAUUACCAGGGAGAGAGGCUUUAUAAAUCCUACUGUCAGUUUAUUUGAAACUGAUUUAUAGACCUAACACUGCCUACUCUCUACUCUCUCUACUUGACAUUAUCUCUCCUCUGGAAUUUUUGUGCUGUAACCCUAAACUGACUAGUGAGGUCAGUUUUCCUACCACCUCUUUUGACAUUUUAGGAUACAGUACCAAGAGGAGAGUCAGUAAUAGAUCAGAGACGGGACUACUACUUGGGAUUGAUCUUUUAAUUUAAGCAAGUUUCCUAUUAAAGCUUAAUUUUAGUGUCUCUAUAUCAUAUCCCUAUACAUGGAUGGUAGCUAUCCCUACCUGAUUCUAUCCUGUAUGCAUAGUGGUAUUAGCUACACUUGUAUAUACUUUAUUUUCCACUUACUUAAUGGUCUCUUUUUUCGUUCUGGGAUAUAUUAGCCAUUGAAUUAAUAUUUAAACCUACUUUGCUAUAUAUUUAUCCAUAUGAUGUACCUGGUCUCCUGACCUUGUUUGCACUGAGACCAGAAGCAUCUGUCUUUUGUUUUUCUCUUUACUAUAUAUAUUGGGGUUAAGCCCCUGGAGACCCCUGGAGUCUCCUUGCGGUACAUAAGACUUGGAGUCAUUACCGGCACUAUUACCCUAGGGUCUAGUGCAUGGGAUUGUACUCCGUGUCUUUUAUUUCUUUUUACCCCAUACCCAAAUUUCACCACCCUCAACUCUCCAAUCUCGCAGAAACCUAAACUUCCUUGAUCUCCAGCAUUUCUCCUCCAAAUUCAAAACUCUCCUUUUACCCAUCUCAAAUCUAACUUGCCCUAACUCUGCUACCUCACUCUACAACUCAACUCUCUCCUCUCAACUCAACAUCAUGGCACCUACUACAAUUAAAUGCAGCAAGCACCCCCAAUUACAACCCUGGCAAACCAAACUGAUCCCUUACCUCCAAAAAUGUUCUAGAACUGCUGAACACUGCUGGAGAAAGUCUCACUUUGCAUCUGACUUCCUCCACUAUAAAUUUAUGCUGCGCUCCUACAGCCUGGCUCUUUCCGCUGCAAAAGUAAAUUACUUUAACACCCUCAUAAGUACACUGUCCCAUCAACCCAAACACCUAUUUCACACUUUUGAUGCUCUUCUUCGCCCUUUUCAUCCCCCUCCUUCUACCACCUUGUCCGCCACAAACUUUGCAUCUCAUUUCACUGAGAUCUCUACAAUCAGAGAAGAGAUCGCUAAUUUCUCUCCUUCCCCUACUAAUACAUCACCCAACCCCACUCCCUCCACCAUUCUACACUUAUUCACACCUGCUACAGCAGAAGUGGUUUCUGUUCUGCUCCGGUCCUCCCGCCCCACCACCUGUUCCUUCAUAUCUCAUCUGCACUUUGUCUCCCUCUCUUGCUCUUCCUCUCAAUAAAAGUUUCAAUCUCUCCCUUUCCUCUGGCACAUAUCUCUCACCCUUCAAACAUGCAACAGUAACCCCAGUUCUGAAAAAAUCCAGCCUUGACCCCAACUCCCCAUCCAACUACCGCCCUAUCUCGCUACUACUAUUUGCUUCCAAGAUCCUCAAGAGAGUUUUUUACACCAGACUGACUGACUUUCUUGAAACCAACUCUCUGCUUGACCCCCCUCAGUCUGGAUUCCGCGCUGGUCAUUCUGUCGAAACGGCUGUGACCAAAGUAUCCAACUAUUUAAUUGCUGUUAAAUCUCGUGGCCAUUAUUCUAUCCUAAUUCUCCUUGAUCUUUCUGCUGCCUUUGACACUGUUCAUCAACAACAGCUUUUUCGCAUUCUCCGUAAUUUUGGUCUACGGGAUACUGCUCUCUCCUGGUGCUCCUCCUACCUCUCCCAGCGCUCUUUCAGUGUUUCAUACUCUGACUCUGCCUCUUCCCUCCAACCACUCUUUGUCGGCGUCCCCCAAGGUUCUGUCCUUGGUCCUCUACUGUUCUCUAUCUACACUGCCUCCCUUGGUAAACUCAUCAGCAAAUUUGGCUUCCGUUAUAAUUUCUAUGUGGAUGACAUGCAAAUCUACCUGUCCUCUCCUGAUAUCUCUCCACCUAUCUUGAUUAGGUCUCUGACUGCAUCUCUUCGAUUUCCAAAUCGAUGGCUGUUCACUUCCUUAACCCCUAUAGAACACAUGACAUGUGUGACAUGUCAUGAUUCCCUUUUAUUCCAGAAGUUUGGUCCUUAAGGGGUUAAACUCAACCUGUCCAGAAAAUAACUUCUGGUCUUUCCUCUCUCAAGUGUUAACACUCUCGUGUCUGUCUCCCUCCUAGUCAAUGGUGCUACCAUCAACUCUACCUCGCAGGCUUGCUGCCUGGGUGUUCUUUUUGACUCCAACCUCUCCUUCACCCCUCAUGUCCAAUCAAUCGCCAAAUCCUGUCGCUUCCAUCUCAAAAACAUAGUGCGCACCCGCCCCUACUUAACCCCGGAUGCGGCUAAGGUGCUGGUCCAUGCUCUUGUUCUCUCUUGCCUGGACUACUGCAAUACUCUUCUCAGUUAUCUUACGUUUUCCCAGAUUGCACCGUUGCAAUCUAUGAUGAAUGCAGCAGCGAGGCUCAUUUUCCUGUCCACUCGCACCUCCCACGCCUCUCCGCUCUGUCAGUCCCUGCAUUGGCUUCCAGUUAGAUAUAGGGCUCAAUUUAAAAUUCUGGUGCUUGCUUACAAGUCCCUACAUAAUGCUGCUCCAACCUACCUAUCCUCCCUAAUACACAAGUAUGUCCCGUCGAGGCCCCUACGCUCUGCCAAAGACCUACGUAUAAGACCUCUGUACGUACUCCCACCUCUAACGCUCACCUCCAAGAUUUUUCCAGGGUUGCACCUCUUCUGUGGAAAUCCCUUCCCUUCUCCGUAAGAUUUUCACCCAGUCUCCACUCAUUCAAAAAAUUAUUGAAAACUCACUUCUAAGUAAAGUGUGUCUGUCUGUGUGUCUAUCAGUGAGUGUGUGUGUCUGUCUGUCUGUGAGUGUGUGUGUCUGUGUGUGUCUGUCAGUGUCUGUGUGUGUGUCUGUCACUGAGUGUGUGUGUCUGUCAGUGAGUGAGUGUGUUUGUCAGUGAGUGUGUAUGUGUUGGUCAGUAUUUCAUUGGCUGCGACUGGACAGUGGAGUACCUGGAGGUGCAUGGAGGCACGCAACGCCACGUCACAUUCUGACGUGACAGACAUCGUCAUGCUCCACCUUGACAGGACUUCAAAACGUAGCAGGAGUAUCAGAUUAGGCACAGGGUGCGGACAGCGCCAUUUGGCUAGAGGGGAAUGCUGGGAUUUAGUAGAAAGGGAGGACCGGGAUUUAUUAGAGGUGAGUGCUGUGGUUUAGUAGAUGGGGAGACUGAGAUUUAGUAGAGGGGGGUGCUGUGGUUUAAUAAUGGGGGAUGUUGUGUUUUUUUUAUACUGUAUUUUUCAAAAUAAACCUACGUUUCUAUGAAAAAAGUUUUUUUUUGCGGCCCACAUAAACUUAACGUACUGCACCCCUCUGUACUAUUCAUAUAAUAACAAACUGCACCCCACUAUACUAUUCAUAUAAUAACAUACUGCACCCCUUGAUACUAUUCAUAUAAUAACAUACUGCACCCCACUACAAUAUUCAUAUAAUAACAUACUGCACCCCAUUAUACUAUUUAUAUAAUAACAUACUGCACCCCACUACAAUAUUCAUAUAAUAACAUACUGCACCCCAUUAUACUAUUUAUAUAAUAACAUACAUCACCCCUCGAUACUAUUCAUAUAAUAACAUACUGCACCCCACUACAAUAUUCAUAUAACAUACUGCACCCCAUUAUACUAUUUAUAUAAUAACAUACAGCACCCCUCGAUACUAUUCAUAUAAUAACAUACUGCACCCCACUACAAUAUUCAUAUAAUAACAUACUGCACCCCAUUAUACUAUUUAUAUAAUAACAUACAACACCCACUAUAUUAUUCAUAUAAUAUGACUGCACCCCAUUAUACUAUUCAUAUAAUAACAUACUGCACCCCCACUAUACUAUCCAUAUAAUAACAUGCUGCACCCCAUUAUACUAUUUAUAUAAUAACAUACUGCACCCCACUACAAUAUUCAUAUAAUAACAUACUGCACCCCACUACAAUAUUCAUAUAAUAACAUACUGCACCCCAUUAUACUAUUUAUAUAAUAACAUACAGCACCCCUCGAUACUAUUCAUAUAAUAACAUACUGCACCCCACUACAAUAUUCAUAUAAUAACAUACUGCACCCCACUACAAUAUUCAUAUAAUAACAUACUGCACCCCACUACAAUAUUCAUAUAAUAACAUACUGCACCCCAUUAUACUAUUCAUAUAAUAACAUACAGCACCCCAUUAUACUAUUCAUAUAAUAACAUGCUGCACCCCAUUAUACUAUUUAUAUAAUAACAUACAGCACCCCUCGAUACUAUUCAUAUAAUAACAUACUGCACCCCACUACAAUAUUCAUAUAAUAACAUACUGCACCCCACUACAAUAUUCAUAUAAUAACAUACUGCACCCCAUUAUACUAUUCAUAUAAUAACAUACAGCACCCCAUUAUACUAUUCAUAUAAUAACAUACAGCACCCCCACUAUACUAUCCAUAUAAUAACAUGCUGCACCCCAUUAUACUAUCCAUAUAAUAACAUACAGCACCCCUCGAUACUAUUCAUAUAAUAACAUACAGCACCCACUAUAUUAUUCAUAUAAUAUGACUGCACCCCAUUAUACUAUUCAUAUAAUAACAUAGAGCACCCCCACUAUACUAUCCAUAUAAUAACAUGCUGCACCCCAUUACACUAUAUGACGUUAAACUAAAAGAUGUCUGUCACUGGAGUAAAACAUCAAAUAACAAUAAUAUACUGUUUUGUACGUAUUACCUCUGCUUACUUAAUUCUUUAUCCCUUUCUCUCUCUCUCUGUUCUGCAAACAUCUAUAAAGUUAACAACACGUCUACAUUAAUAAACAUACAUAGAUCACACGUUUACUAAUCUCCCUUGUUUGUUCCCCCUAAACAUUUAUAUCCUAACACAAUUAAAGAUUAAUUUAGGGAUUUAUUAAUUUGCCUUUCUUCUGAUUAUCAAUGAUCUAUACUAAUAAACAAUAUAACAGCACC
rnacentral:lncRNA from 1 species